GGCACAAAUGAUGAAUGACAAAGGGACUUAAUACUGAAACCUAAUGUUGCAAAGCAAUGUGCUGAUGUGC
rnacentral:snoRNA from 1 species